AUUGAACGCUGGCGGCAUGCCUUACACAUGCAAGUCGAACGGCAGCGGACCUUCGGGUGCCGGCGAGUGGCGAACGGGUGAGUAAUAUAUCGGAACGUGCCUUUCAGUGGGGGAUAACGUAGCGAAAGUUACGCUAAUACCGCAUAUUCUCUGAGGAGGAAAGCAGGGGACCUUCGGGCCUUGCGCUGAUAGAGCGGCCGAUAUCAGAUUAGCUAGUUGGUGGGGUAAAGGCCUACCAAGGCGACGAUCUGUAGCGGGUCUGAGAGGAUGAUCCGCCCCACUGGGACUGAGACACGGACCAGACUCCUACGGGAUGCAGCAGUGGGGAAUUUUGGACAAGGGGCGAAAGCCUGAUCCAGCCAUGCCGCGUGAGUGAAGAAGGCCUUCGGGUUGUAAAGCUCUUUCGGCCGGGAAGAAAUCGCACAGGCUAAUACCUUGUGUGGAUGACGGUACCGGAAUAAGAAGCACCGGCUAACUACGUGCCAGCCGCCGCGGUAACAC
rnacentral:rRNA from 1 species